UCCUGACCGACUGCGAUAGUACACCUCUGUAGAACGUCUCACUUCUCAGGUGUAGAAUAACCAACUGAAGUGUGUAGAAUACGGCCUGGUCUCUGACAACCCACGACCGACAACCAGUUAACUUUUUUCUGUUCACUUGUUCCUGUCUGUAUGGUUGGCUGUUAAUGUUUAUUGAAGAGAAAAAUUAACAAAAUUCUAUAUUUUAAAAGAGUACGGGUAGGAGUAUCUACCUAUAGAAAAGUAUCUUAAACUUGUUCUUCUAACUUAUAUCGUAUGUGUUUCGAUUUAAUAGCGAUCCGUAAGGUGGUGUUGUUGCUGUCGAUUACUUUUGAUCGUGAGUCACUAUCACGAUGAUAGUACGGUAAUAAGUAAAUAAUAGUUGUCGAAGUAGAAUCAUUAGUUAAAAGAAAGUUCUGUUGACGUCAAUGACCAUCACGAUUCAGUAUUGCGAUUGCCCACAAAGAAAGAUACGAUCGUGUAAAUAUCAAUGACCUUUAACGAAAAAGUUUAACAACAUAAAGGAAACAACAUCAGUAACUGGUUCUGGUAUUUUUAUGUCAACUUAUCAUUUUUGUUAAAGUAAAUAAAACAAAACAAACUAACGAAAAAAAAUAAAUAA